rnacentral:rRNA from 1 species
UUUUUUGUCGUGCACGCCCGAGUGCUCUCACACAAUCCAUCUCACCCCUAUGUGCACCACCGCGUGGGUCCCUCUUUGGCUCGCUCCGAGGGGGGGCUCGCGUUUUCACACAAACUCGAAGCAGUGUAGAAUGUCUUUUUAUUUUGCGAUGACACGCAAUCAAUACAACUUUCAACAACGGAUCUCUUGGCUCUCGCAUCGAUGAAGAACGCAGCGAAAUGCGAUACGUAAUGUGAAUUGCAGAAUUCAGUGAAUCAUCGAAUCUUUGAACGCACCUUGCGCCCCUUGGCAUUCCGAGGGGCACACCCGUUUGAGUGUCGUGAAAUUCUCAAAAGCCCUUCCUUUGGUGGAGAGGAUUUUGGACUUGGAGGUCAUUUGCUGGUUUCACCUUGAAGCGAGCUCCUCCCAAAUGGAUUAGUGGGGUCUGCUUUGCCGAUCCUUGACGUGAUAAUAUGUUUCUACGUCUCGGGUUUCUGCACUGUACCUCUGCUUCUAACCGUCUCAUUGACAACGAUGGUGUUCCGGUCACCGCCGAUUCAUCGGUGGGAGGCUCGACCCACAAA